rnacentral:rRNA from 1 species
UACGUAGGGUGCGAGCGUUGUUCGGAUUCAUUGGGCGUAAAGGGUGCGUAGGCGGCGCGGUAAGUCGGGUGUGAAAUCUCGGGGCUUAACUCCGAAACUGCAUUCGAUACUGCCGUGCUUGAGGACUGGAGAGGAGACUGGAAUUUACGGUGUAGCGGUGAAAUGCGUAGAUAUCGUAAGGGAGACCAGUGGCGAAGGCGGGUCUCUGGACAGUUCCUGACGCUGAGGCACGAAGGCCAGGGGAGCAAACGGG